AUCGAACUGCCACCGGGUAGGUAUGCGUAAAGCAUUUGUUUACACAUUGUUAGGUCUCAGAAGAUGUGUAAGGCAAGUGUUUAUUUUUU
rnacentral:ncRNA from 1 species